CUAACCGUGCGAAGGUAGCAUAAUCACUUGUUCUUUAAAUGGGGACUCGUAUCAACGGCAUCACGAGGCACAAAUUAACCUCCACGAUGAAUGGGCUAACCCCCUUACCCAAGAGCCACACCUCUAAGAAUUAGUAAUCUAUCAUUAACUGAUCCGAUAAUCGAUCAACGAACCAAGUUACCCUGGGGAUAACAGCGCAAUCCACUUUAAGAGCCCCUAUCGACAAGUGGGUUUACGACCUCGAUGUUGGAUCAGGGUAUCCCAGUGGUGCAGCAGCUGCUGAAGGUUCGUUUGUUCAACGAUUAAAACCCUACGUG
rnacentral:rRNA from 1 species